CAAUUGCAGAACUCUUUACUCAGGUGUGGGCGGGGCUAACAUCAAAGCACUAAGUAGGUUACCUGCACAGGUUCCUCACACCUCGACGUUGCUGGAUUUAUUGUCGCACACAUGGAGAGCCACUCUAAAAUAUGGACGGCCGAGGAAACUCACUAUCUGCUGUACAUUUGGACGUCGGCAGAGGUGCAGAGCGAACUAGAAACGGCGACGAGAACGCGGCCUGUUUUGGAGAGGAUCCGCGAGGAGAUGGCGGAAGCCGGCUUCGUGCGGACUUUUGACCAGAUCAACAACAAGCUGAAGAAGCUGAAGAAGGACUACAGGGACCACAAGAAGGGUCUUUGCAGACAACGCAGUGCGGGAGGGAAAAUGUUAUUCUUCAAACAACUCAACUCCGUCUUGGGGACCAGGAAGACGUGUCAGCUCGCCGGGAAAGCUUUUAACAAUUAUAAGACGAGCCAAGACCCUGGACCGAGUCAGACCUGCAUGGACUUUUUAUCCGAAGCAGAUGAGCUGGCCCUCCGUGAGAACAUUGGCGAGCAUGCGAUGAAUGGAACACCAGGGGGGACUUCAUCAGAGUCACUCUCCCCUCAAGACACGCAUACCUUCAUAAAAUAUUCUGAUAGUGCACUUUGCCUUGUAGAGCCCAAGGAGGAGGAUGAUAAAGACACAGUGUUUACUGCAUUGGGGAGGGAUCCAGAAAGGCCCGCCGAGAGAACAGCCGGACACGAGCAGUGUUCAUCAAACUCUUCAUCACAGAUUGAAAUCAUGCCAGUAAACGAGGUGUACAAAAUGCAUCUGCUCAAGAAAAUGGAAAAAACCGACAAAGAAAUGGUGUACUUGGACUGGCAAAUUAAGAAAGCACAUCUGGAAUUUGAAAUUCUAAAAUACAAGUUAGAGUUUCGCAAAUUCCUCAGUAAACACAGCAAGACGUCACUGUGGAGUUAUUGAGUCUGUUUAGCUGAUUGGAGAGCGAGCUUCCACAGCUAGUGGGUCCAUGACGAUGACUUCUGUUUUGUUUUGAUCACCCAUUUUACUGCCGUGUUACAGACACCGUUUGGAAACAAUUGAGGUGUCCUGUUGAAAACGUCGCGGUAUGAUGACGCGUCCAUUUGACGUCUCGGGUUGCAGCGGACAUUAUUUUCCAGCCCGAUGCAAGCUAUAAGUAGUCUGCUUUAAUCGCAUAAUUACACAGUAUUCUGGACAUUUGUGUUGCUGAAUCUUUAUUCAAUUGAUAAUGGAGAAGUCAAAGUAGAAAGAUGGAGGUGGGAAGCUUUUAGCCUUUAGCCACACAAACACAGCCGGUGGUUCCUUGUUUAAAAUUCCCGAAGGUGAAGCUUUACUAUGGAACGGAGCGGUCAAGCGAACAUGGAUCCCGACCACAUGUCAACCGGCAGGUUUUGGUGAGAAAAUUGUGGUAACAAGUUGGCUCUUACCGUAGUUAUGAGCGGAGCCUGCGUCUUCCUGCAGCUGCUGCGGACUAUUACCUCCUCCCACGGAGAUGCUGGCGGUCACCACACCCCUCCAACUUUCAGGUACUAUAUAAUCUCACAAAAACACUAGUAACACAAUAGGCAGAUAAGGGAUUUCCCAGAAUUGUCCUAGUAAAUGUGUCUAAUAACAUCUGAAUCGCUCCCACUGCCCUCGCCUUUUUUUUUUUUUUUCUCUAGUUCUU